AUUUGAUUGGCAUCUACUUGAUAUUUUGUGAUGAUUGAAAUGUAACCUAUCUGGUUGACAGAAAUCACCAGAAACCAAUGAAUGAGCCCCAAAACAGCUGCCCCAGUGACUUUGGCAAAGACGGAGGCUUUUGGCUCUGCGAAGUCAGCAUUUAUAUUUGCAAUCUUUCAAAAUUGGAAGGAAGGAAAUGGAAAGAAAAACUAGAGUGUUUGAAUUUUUUAAAAAAUAUUUCAGUAUUGUUAGGUUCUUACAUUUUAAUAUUGCUGUGCUUUUCUGAUCGCAAAUGGUGCAGUAAAGUAGAAGUGAAUUUGC